rnacentral:rRNA from 1 species
UACGGAGGAUCCAAGCGUUGUCCGGAUUUAUUGGGUUUAAAGGGUGCGUAGGUGGUUUAUUAAGUCAGUGGUGAAAGUUUGCGGCUUAACCGUAAAAUUGCCAUUGAAACUGAUAGACUUGAGUGUAGUUGAGGUAGCUGGAAUGUGUCAUGUAGCGGUGAAAUGCUUAGAUAUGAUACAGAACACCGAUUGCGAAGGCAGGUUACUAAACUAUAACUGACACUGAGGCACGAAAGCAUGGGGAUCAAACAGG